GUCCGGGUGGCGAAUGGGAACGCGACGGAUUGCAAAUCCGCGAUGAGCCGGUUCGAUUCCGGCUUCGGACU
rnacentral:tRNA from 1 species